rnacentral:lncRNA from 1 species
UCUGCGAAUCAAAGGAGAAGCGUCCUUCUCUCACCCUCUCACCCCGCUCCGCUGGCUAGCCAAGCACGGAACCCGCCAGGCUCUGGCCAACCGGCUCACAUGGCCCGGAGCCCAGAGGCUCGCUGAGGCGGCUUCUCUUUACUUUAAACAGGGGGCCUCAUAAGACCUGUUGAGGGGCCCUGCAACACUGUAUACAGAAUCGCCUAUUUAAAAAAAUACACCCAAAAUACAAUUUUGAGACCAGCAUCCAGGCUCUGAAGACCUGUGACAGCCAUCCAUGGAGUCAUGUUAAGAACCUCCACUCCAACUAACCCAAAGCUCACAGCCCUGGAGGAGAAGAAGCCUGUUUGGGGAAUUCUACCUUGGCUCCAUGUCUCUGAAGAGGCUUGUCCCAGGGAAUAUAAUGGGAUCCUCGCUCACACACAACCCAACAGCCGACCCACAAUGGCACACCUCCCAGUUAUUGCCUUAGUCCGGCAAACCCCUGGCUAAGCAUCCACAGCCGAGCUGAGGGCAGUGAGAAAAGUUCAAGUCGCCAGCUGAAGUGGUCUUUAACACCCCCCCCCCGGCCUUCUCAGCCUCACUGUUUAUCCAUAUGAAGCGCUCUCCUUCCCGGCCCACUUCCACCCCCACCUUUCUGAGAUCGGCUAUAAAAAUAAACUAUUUUUCCUUGUUAA